rnacentral:rRNA from 1 species
GACGAACGCUGGCGGCGUGCUUAACACAUGCAAGUCGAACGGUAAGGCCCUUCGGGGUACACGAGUGGCGAACGGGUGAGUAACACGUGGGUGAUCUGCCCUGCACUUCGGGAUAAGCCUGGGAAACUGGGUCUAAUACCGGAUAGGACUCCUGGCUUCAUGGUUGGGGGUGGAAAGCUUUUGCGGUGGGGGAUGGGCCCGCGGCCUAUCAGCUUGUUGGUGGGGUAAUGGCCUACCAAGGCGACGGCGGGUAGCCGGCCUGAGAGGGUGACCGGUCACACUGGGACUGAGAUACGGCCCAGACUCCUACGGGAGGCAGCAGUGGGGAAUAUUGCACAAUGGGCGCAAGCCUGAUGCAGCGACGCCGCGUGAGGGAUGACGGCCUUCGGGUUGUAAACCUCUUUCAGCUAUGACGAAGCGCAAGUGACGGUAGUAGCAGAAGAAGGACCGGCCAACUACGUGCCAGCCGCCGCAGUAA